rnacentral:rRNA from 1 species
GACGAACGCUGGCGGCGUGCCUAAUACAUGCAAGUAGAACGCUGAAGGAGGAGCUUGCUUCUCUGGAUGAGUUGCGAACGGGUGAGUAACGCGUAGGUAACCUGCCUGGUAGCGGGGGAUAACUAUUGGAAACGAUGGCUAAUACCGCAUAAGAGUAGAUGUUGCAUGACAUUUGCUUAAAAGGUGCAAUUGCAUCACUACCAGAUGGACCUGCGUUGUAUUAGCUAGUUGGUGGGGUAACGGCUCACCAAGGCGACGAUACAUAGCCGACCUGAGAGGGUGAUCGGCCACACUGGGACUGAGACACGGCCCAGACUCCUACGGGAGGCAGCAGUAGGGAAUCUUCGGCAAUGGACGGAAGUCUGACCGAGCAACGCCGCGUGAGUGAAGAAGGUUUUCGGAUCGUAAAGCUCUGUUGUAAGAGAAGAACGAGUGUGAGAGUGGAAAGUUCACACG